rnacentral:lncRNA from 1 species
UCUCCAACAGUCUGAGACUCUUCCCCCUGCGUCUCAGACCCAUCCUUAUCUCUUUCAACAAAACCUCUUCAUUAGCGAGGACAACAUGUUCUCUAUGGCUUCUUUCUCUUGUACACCCAUGAAAAACUCAAGAGAGGAAGAAGUGUUACCUACGGACACAGGAUCAUGAGCAAUCUUGGUUGAGUCAACAUUCUCGAACAGCCCUUCUCCUCUCAACAGAACCAGCGGCAUACUUGCCGAAAAACACGACAACACAUAGACCCUUCACCUUCACUGCCUUCUUCUCGUUGCCCUCGCCGGAGUAGCCACCAAAACCCUAGAGAGGAGUCACCGCCGGCUCUCACAGCAGCAACCAAACGACAACCAGUGACCCCUACUCGUACGCUAUAGUUCGUUUUUAGUCGACCUCACAAACAAAACUGCUUUGUUCUUCUCCUCGCAAUUGCUGUCCUUAAUUGAAAUCAGCUAUUGGAGUUCUGUUCAUUCCAUUUCCAAUUCCAAUCAAAGAUUCGAGGUCGCCGGAGGUCGUUGUGCAAGGAGCUCCGUUUCAGCUUCGCCCGAGGUUCGGUCGCGGUUCGAGCACAUUCAACCAAAUUAAUUACAAGUAGUUUAAUCGGACUGUUUGGCAUUAAUUCUAAUUCGAGCCCUGUUGUCGUUCGAAAUUGAAAGUCACAGUGGCGUUUUCAUUUCCGGUAUGUCAUGCUCGAAGAAAGGUCCAUCUCGUUUCCCCUAAACAAU